rnacentral:snoRNA from 10 species
UUAUGCCAUUUGGUAUCUGACUCAUUGUCUACUUUUGUGACUAUGUGUCUUGAAAUAUGGCAUAUAAUAAGGGGGAACGGAUCUUGCGACAUUGAUGGCUCCUGUAUGAGCCUCCAAUUACUAUAUAGCCGUUUACAUGU